rnacentral:lncRNA from 1 species
UCACUAGAUAGAUGGGGCUUGCCCACAAACUUGGUCCAUGGCGUUGUUUACUUCGAACGACCAACUCACAGUAAUCUCAGAACUUCUCUUGGCAUUUUUUGGGGGAAAAUGUUUGUUUUUCGCUAACGUUUGUCAUCAUGCCUGUGUGGUGUUCUGUCUGGCUGUGCUAAUUACAAACAAGCGAAAAAAAGUAUUUAUCUUUCACCGUUCUACCUACCAGAAAUUUACCCUGAUGCUGCCAGUGGUUUCCGGCUAUCAAGAAUGAUGCUUACGGUGACGAAAGAUUAUCAGAGGUAUUUUGAGGUUGAACGGAUGGGGAAUCCAUUUAGAUGACAGCUGAGAAGUGAUACAAUACCAUAUUUUUCUCCCUUCACAACAACACGGAAGAUUCUCGAUUAGAGGUGGUAUAUAAUCUGAUUCCACCAGCAUGUUUCCAAUUCCUAGCCCUGCACAAGAUGAAGGAAGUGAAUGGAGAUAUCAAAGCCCAAUCUUUUCUCUGCAGUCAGACAGGAGCGCACAGGCUACUGUUAGUAGCCAUUACUGGAUAAGUGACUCGCAAUUCUGUCUAGAAUGUAUAGGAAUGCCAUAAAACACCAGUUCAUUUCCAUGAAUUUGCCGUGCCUGGCCCGU